rnacentral:rRNA from 1 species
CACGUAGGGCGCAAGCGUUGUCCGGAAUUAUUGGGCGUAAAGAGCUCGUAGGCGGACUGUCACGUCCGCUGUGAAAAGCUAGGGCUUAACCCUGGCCUUGCAGUGGAUACGGGCAGACUAGAGGUAGGUAGGGGAGAAUGGAAUUCCCGGUGUAGCGGUGAAAUGCGCAGAUAUCGGGAGGAACACCUGUGGCGAAGGCGGCUUUCUGGGCCCUACCUGACGCUGAGACGCGAAAGCGUGGGGAGCGAACCGG